rnacentral:antisense_RNA from 1 species
AUUCGGAAUAUAACUAACUAACUAACUUCCUUCCUUCCUUCCUUCCUUCCUCCCUCCCUCCCUCCCUGCCUUCCCUUCCUUCCUGCCUUCCUUCUUCCUUCCUCCCUUUUUUCUUUUCUCCCUUCCUUCCUUCUUAAUAUGUUUUUGGCCUUUUCUUUAUAUAUGUGGCCUAGCAAUAUCCUGUGUUUGGAAAAGUAUAAACCUAAGGCAUCACCUUUACAGAAAAUAUCUUCCACGGAAACAUCUAAAGUACCUGUCUCCUCCCAUAGUUAGGUGCCAAGCACUGUGGAUUCUGCCCCUCAGUGUCCAGACACCCAUUUUCCUUCCCACUGUUCCUUCCCCAUGGAGAAGCCUGUGGCUGGCUGACAGCAGAGAGAGAUGCUCAACUUGGAGAAGGUGUUACCUGGGCCAGGUGGGGAAGGUUUGUUUGCAGAGCAAAGAAGUGAAGGAAGUAUUAACCCUUUGCAUGGCCUCCUGAGAAUCCGACAAGACGUAAAUAGCCAAGAAUAUCUGUGGAACUUAAUCACUGAGUUACAGUAUUUAUCACUGCAAGUGUGUUGUUCAUUGACACUAUAAAGCCAUGUGGAAUUAAGCAGCCUUGAAACACAAAAUGGAGAAAGGCUGAGAGCUGAGAAUUGUUGCCUUCAGGAAAAUACAAUCAAUGUCAAGCAAACAACCACCCCAAAAUGGUUAGCUUUAUCAGCAUUCAGGCC